rnacentral:misc_RNA from 1 species
AGCACGAAAGGACAUAGUAGCAAUAUAUCAUUUGGUAGGUUAUCCUUUGCUUUUAGCUAGAUUUUCAUUUCUUGGUACGUUCGUGCCUCGCAAGAAAUUUUUGCAAAGUUUAUUUUAUUUCUUACAGACCUGUUAAAUUUAUACAUUGAGAAAAUCGCAUGAGACGGGUUAAUAAUAGGUGCUAAUGAAAGUGCUCUUCUCGAGAAAAUAGGUCACCGUGGAAGUAAUAGAAAAGUCAAAUGUCUCUUAACAAAGAAAGUCAUGCCAAUAAACCACUUAAAGUCACGAAGAGCGCUAGGAUAUAGAAGCUAAACAGUACUCUACACUGCUAGUUUACCAUACGUCCCUCAAGAAGAAGAUAAAGAAGAUAGUUCAUUUCUUCAACACAUCGGUUCUUUCGACUCCGUUUAAAGUGUUAUUUGACAUUCCAUUUUCAUGGUAUUAUGGAUAUCAAUAAGGUACCCUACUUCAACGAGUCAGAGAAUGCAACAGCACGUUCAGAUCAUCUGCGCGAAGUCAACAACCAGCUUCAGACAAACAACACGGGGGUCGCAAAGUUGAUGUCCAUUGCAACAGUUAUCGUCGUCAUCAACAGUUUGGUCCUUUAUUUAGUUUUCAAGAAUAAAUCCCUGCGGACCGUUCCAAACUAUCCUCUUUUCAGUUUGGCAGCUUGUGACCUCUUCUGUGGAUUUGUAGCCAUUCCUUUAUUUACAAUGAUAUUUUUUACGCCACUGGUACAGUCUCAAGGGGCAACGAGGUUCUAUCUGGGAUUUUUGGUAACAGUUCUUCACAACUUCAUAGCCAUCGCCACUGUUUACCACAUAGUUAUUGUUACGGGGGAGCGUUACAUGGCGAUUAAAUUUCCACUGAAACAUCGCGUUAUCGACCAAAAGAACGUUCUAACAUUGUUAGCCAUUGUCUGGAUCUCUUCAUUUUUUAUAUCAUGUAUUCCAUUUACCUGGAUCAAUAAGAUAUAUCCAGUAUACAAACCAGUUUCUUUAAGAUUAGCACUCGGUUUCACCAUAUUUUGCAUGGUAUUCGUCUUGGUUCUACCCUAUAUUUUCUUGAUAUAUGCAUUCACUGAUAUGUUUAAAGGUGUCUAUGGUAAACCAAGGAGUACGAAUCGAUGUAUUAAUGACUCCAGAAUGGCUCUGCGCCGCAGCCGAAGUAUUGAAAAACAUUCAGGUAGCGAGUUGAAGUGUCUAACACUUUUCGUCAUCAUGGCGUCCGUGUUUCUGAUUUGUUGGCUUCCUUGGUUUGUAAUAUUUUUGUUAUACCAGUUGUCCUUCGACAUCUCUAAAUUGCUUAUACCAUCUCAAAUGGCGCUUUUGAUCCGCUACAUGACUUCAGUUGUCAACCCACUGCUCUACACUUUUCUAAAAAGAGACUUUUUUCAAGCUCUCAAGUUCACCUUCAGGAGACGCAGGCAAGUUUCGCAUUCAGUUAUCUACCCUAAUGGACAUGAGACAUUGCAAACGGAAUUCAACUACCAGUCUGGAGUGUCAGUCACUCAUUCACGUGAUUGCCAGUCCAAGGAGGUGAAUUUAGGCACCAUCCAAGAGGGUGAGGAGCAUUUUGGUGACAGUACGUGUUGAUAAACCUUAUGAAAAGGUACUAACAGUGAACAGUCCUAAAAGUUGUUUUGGAGACUGUAAUCAUGAUAACAAAGCGAGUAGCUUUCAUUUCUUUUCUUUUCUUUUUCUAAAUGAAGGAGUUUGUAUUUUAUGAGAUAUCGAUGAAUCAUGUGUGACCGAGAGAGAAACAUGUCGACUUUGAGAUUGGCGAUGAACGCAAAUUUUCAGACUACCCAACCGUUUCAGUUUUGGACUCCUGUCCUCCUGUCCUUAAGGUGUAAUUCAGUUUAGACCGCUGUUAAGCCGAUUGAUCAUCUCCUCGGCCGUAUUAAGUCUAUGAGUUCGAGCUCACAAUCAAACUGAUUGAAACUCGUGUCUUAUUUACAAACGCAAGUUGGGUUCGAUUUCCGCCGCUCUCUUUGCGUCCCUCGGGGAAGAACGUAAAUUCUUAUACCAAGCAGUUGUUGCUAUUUAGGUGUUCCUUUCUUUUUGCAGUAAACUGAAAAGAAACUAAAACCACGGACAAAACCUGUUGAGACAAUUUGUUCUCAUUUCAAAGUAUUAUUAGCCGAAAAUUAAAUCGGACAAAUGUAAGCUAUUCGAUGUGGAGUUGAAAAUUACAGAGUAACUGGUAGAACUCCGUGUAUGGAUAUCAAACACGAGAACAUUAACUUUCUUUACGAAGUAUGAAAUUCACUAAUAAGGUAUAUACUGUUUUAUGAACGGCAUUUAGAUAUUAUUUCAACGAAACUCAUCUUAAUAUAGAUCAGUUCUGGUGACGACGGCCGUCUGCCACUAACGGCGAGUCAAUAAGCUGAAUGUAUUCCGGGCUGAACCGAUCGCUUCUCUCCUUCUUUCGCAGGAUAGCAGUUCAAAACGUCAUGGAAAACUUAGGUUCACAAGUAUCUUCAUGGGUCAAUAAGGAGAACGUGUACUUUGCUCUGACUGUUUGUUAAAAAAUACAAGUGAUACAGUAACUUGCAAGCCACAAUAAAAACCUUGCAUUUAAGUUGGACUGAAGUUUAACCAAUAAGGAAAGGAUGUUUUUAUCAAUCUUCCCUCGGGCUUUGGCAGAAGUCUAAUAUAUCAACUGUCACCUCUGGUUGCGGAAGAGAUGUCGACAAGGCCUUAUCAGAAUGGCAAUAUUCGAAGUGGCAUCGUGUCGGUGAUUUCACCUUUGGUAUCUUUGAUCAAAGAUCAAGUUGAAGGUCUUCAACAAAGAGGAAUUAAAGCUUCGUUUAUCGGUACCGGUCAAGAGGAGGCCAAUUUCAAGGAAAUUGUGAAUGGUGAAAUGAACAUCGUGUAUUCGUCGCCAGAAGCCAUGCUUGUAAAUGAUCGCUGGCGAGAGAUGAUUUGCUCUCAAGUUUACCAAAAACUGUGGUUGUUGUAGCGGUGGAUGAAGCCCAUUGCAUUACUCACUGGGUACUUAUACAGACCAUGACGUUGAAGAACCACACUCUCUAGCAGAGAGUGAUGAUGGAACUGCUUCAGUGGAUACUAGUGCUAACAACUCUGAACUUAUGAAAUCAUUUCAGAAGAUAGAAGUCCCGACAAUGCCAAACCCAGUGUCCCCCAGUUAAAGCGUGCUUCAGCUUCUGGUAUACAGUCUUUAACACUUAAGUCUUCCCAAUUGAUUAUCAAGGCAGUGUUUGGUGAAAACCUCAAUUGUGAAAACAUAGUGAAAGUUUUAAAGAAUAAAUUUUCUGUGAAACAUCAUUCCCUGACACCUUUGACAGUUACACAACUAAUGGAAGUAAUUUCCAAUAAAAACUAUUAAACCAUAAAUAUUGUCACAUCAGCCUUGGGGUCAAUCAAGUGACAUGAAAAUGGAUGAUAUUAUUGUUUGUAAGGAAAUUUCUUUGUGAUUAAGAACUGCAGUAUGGUGUAACCCAGCUGUCGU